UACGUAGGGGGCAAGCGUUGUCCGGAUUUAUUGGGCGUAAAGAGCGUGUAGGCGGCCAUACAGGUCCGUUGUGAAAACUCGAGGCUCAACCUCGAGACGUCGAUGGAAACCGUAUGGCUAGAGUCCGGAAGAGGAGAGUGGGAAUUCCUGGUGUAGCGGUGAAAUGCGCAGAUAUCAGGAAGAACACCCGUGGCGAAGGCGGCUCUCUGGGACGGUACUGACGCUGAGACGCGAAAGCGUGGGGGAGCGAACAGG
rnacentral:rRNA from 1 species